AUGUCAGAAGGACACUUUUUGGUCAUCUACUUGUAUCUUUCCCAAGCUUCAUAGAGGAAUUCAACAUCUUUUUGCUUGAAGAUCUGAAAAUGCACUUUGAGCUU